rnacentral:tRNA from 1 species
GGUGAGGUGGCUGAGUGGUCGAAGGCGGCUCACUGCUAACGAGUUGAACUUGUUAAAGGGUUCCCAGGGUUCGAAUCCCUGCCUCACCGCCA